CCGGCGGGGUGCCUAAUCAUGCAGUCGAACGCGUUGGCCCAAUUGAUUGAUGGUGCUUGCACCUGAUUGAUUUUGGUCGCCAACGAGUGGCGGACGGGUGAGUAACACGUAGGUAACCUGCCCAGAAGCGGGGGACAACAUUUGGAAACAGAUGCUAAUACCGCAUAACAACGUUGUUCGCAUGAACAACGCUUAAAAGAUGGCUUCUCGCUAUCACUUCUGGAUGGACCUGCGGUGCAUUAGCUUGUUGGUGGGGUAACGGCCUACCAAGGCGAUGAUGCAUAGCCGAGUUGAGAGACUGAUCGGCCACAAUGGGACUGAGACACGGCCCAUACUCCCUACGGGAGGCAGCAGUAGUGAAUCUUCCACAAUGGGCGCAAGCCUGAUGGAGCAACACCG
rnacentral:rRNA from 2 species